rnacentral:rRNA from 1 species
AGAGUUUGAUCCUGGCUCAGGACGAACGCUGGCGGCGUGCUUAACACAUGCAAGUCGAACGGAAAGGCCCUUCGGGGUACUCGAGUGGCGAACGGGUGAGUAACACGUGGGUGAUCUGCCCUGCACUUUGGGAUAAGCCUGGGAAACUGGGUCUAAUACCGAAUAUGACCAUGCGCCUCCUGGUGUGUGGUGGAAAGCUUUUGCGGUGUGGGAUGGGCCCGCGGCCUAUCAGCUUGUUGGUGGGGUAAUGGCCUACCAAGGCGACGACGGGUAGCCGGCCUGAGAGGGUGACCGGCCGCACUGGGACUGAGAUACGGCCCAGACUCCUACGGGAGGCAGCAGUGGGGAAUAUUGCACAAUGGGCGCAAGCCUGAUGCAGCGACGCCGCGUGAGGGAUGACGGCCUUCGGGUUGUAAACCUCUUUCAGCACAGACGAAGCGCAAGUGACGGUAUGUGCAGAAGAAGGACCGGCCAACUACGUGCCAGCAGCCGCGGUAAUACGUAGGGUCCGAGCGUUGUCCGGAAUUACUGGGCGUAAAGAGCUCGUAGGUGGUUUGUCGCGUUGUUCGUGAAAACUCACAGCUUAACUGUGGGCGUGCGGGCGAUACGGGCAGACUUGAGUACUGCAGGGGAGACUGGAAUUCCUGGUGUAGCGGUGGAAUGCGCAGAUAUCAGGAGGAACACCGGUGGCGAAGGCGGGUCUCUGGGCAGUAACUGACGCUGAGGAGCGAAAGCGUGGGGAGCGAACAGGAUUAGAUACCCUGGUAGUCC